ACCCCCGGUAUUAUUGAUUUAUGGGUUGCAAUCGAGCUUAGUCGUGUUCAUUUUUUUAUACAACAACCCGUUAAAAAUAAAAGACAGGCCGCUCUAGCUCCAAUUUAACAACGGCUUCAGCUUGAAUAAAACGCCCCAAAUGGCAGCAAAAAAGACUGUUUUGCGCCGUUUCAGGGCAG
rnacentral:sRNA from 1 species